GCCAGGCGCGGUGGCACAUGCCUGUGAUCCCAGCAGCUCCGGAGGCUGAGACAGGAGGAUCACCAGUUCAAAGUCAGCCUUAGCAAAAGUGAGGCGUGAAGCAACUCAGUGAGACCCCGUCUCUA
rnacentral:sRNA from 1 species